GAGCAAUGGAGCACAACCUUCCAAUUUUCUAGCUAGCAGAUCUAAAGCAGACAUCCAAAAUUCCUGAAUCAACUCAUUACACUCAGGAAAAUAAGCCCACCUGAUGUCAAACUUGAACAACUUCCCAGCCUUCUUACACAUUGGAUGAAGAAAUAAAAUAAUAGGCCAAUAUCAGAAGCAAUCAUCUUCUCAUAAACCAACAAACUCUGAUUGAACUGAGUAUUUGACAAUAGCUUUAUCUAGCCUUUCCAUAAUUCUAGCAUUCCCAUCCUGUUUAUUAGACCAGGAAAAGCGAG
rnacentral:misc_RNA from 1 species